rnacentral:rRNA from 1 species
AUUGAACGCUGGCGGCAGGCCUAACACAUGCAAGUCGAGCGGAUGAAGGGAGCUUGCUCCUGGAUUCAGCGGCGGACGUGUGAGUAAUGCCUAGGAAUCUGCCUGGUAGUGGGGGAUAACGUCCGGAAACGGGCGCUAAUACCGCAUACGUCCUGAGGGAGAAAGUGGGGGAUCUUCGGACCUCACGCUAUCAGAUGAGCCUAGGUCGGAUUAGCUAGUUGGUGGGGUAAAGGCCUACCAAGGCGACGAUCCGUAACUGGUCUGAGAGGAUGAUCAGUCACACUGGAACUGAGACACGGUCCAGACUCCUAUGGGAGGCAGCAGUGGGGAAUAUUGGACAAUGGGCGAAAGCCUGAUCCAGCCAUGCCGCGUGUGUGAAGAAGGUCUUCGGAUUGUAAAGCACUUUAAGUUGGGAGGAAGGGCAGUAAGUUAAUACCUUGCUGUUUUGACGUUACCAACAGAAUAAGCACCGGCUAACUUCGUG